rnacentral:misc_RNA from 1 species
UUUCCGUAGGUGAACCAGCGGAGGGAUCAUUAUUGAAUAACCGAGGUACGAGGGCUUUCGCAGACAAGAAACGUGGUGCACGGGCGAGGAGCCUCACAGAGAGCCAACCGACGCCGAUGUACACCACCUCGGCAGUCACCCUUUUGCGAGUUCUGAAGGGGGAAUACGUAUUCACACAAACUGUGUAUGCAGUGUAUAGUGUAUUUAUUGUGUUUGCAAUAACGCAAGCGAUAAAACUUUAAACAACGGAACACUAGGCUCCCGCAUGGAUGAAGAACU